CCUACGGGGUGCAGCAGUGAGGAAUAUUGGUCAAUGGGCUUACGCCUGAACCAGCCAAGUCGCGUGAGGGAAGACUGCCCUAUGGGUUGUAAACCUCUUUUGUCAGGGAGCAACGUCGGCUACGUGUAGCCGGACUGAGAAUACCUGAAGAAAACGCAUCGUCUAACUCCGUGCCAGCAGCCGCGGUAAUACGGAGGGUCCGAGCGUUAUCCGGAUUUAGUGGGUUUAAAGGGAGCGUAGAUGGGUUGUUAAGUCAGUUGUGAAAGUUUGCGGUUCAAACGUAGAAUUGCAAUUGAUACUGGCAGCCUUGAGUACAGUUGAGGUAGGCGGAAUUCGUGGUGUAGCGGUGAAAUGCUUAGAUAUCACGAAGAACUCCGAUUGCGAAGGCAGCCUACUAAACUGCUACUGACGUUGAUGCUCGAAAGCGUGGGUAUCAAACAGGAUUAGAUACCCCUGUAGUC
rnacentral:rRNA from 1 species